AACGAACGCUGGCGGCAUGCCUAACACAUGCAAGUCGAACGAGACCUUCGGGUCUAGUGGCGCACGGGUGCGUAACGCGUGGGAACCUGCCCGUAGGUUCGGAAUAACUCCCCGAAAGGGGUGCUAAUACCGGAUAAUGUCUUCGGACCAAAGAUUUAUCGCCUUUGGAUGGGCCCGCGUUGGAUUGGCUAGUUGGUAGGGUAAAAGCCUACCAAGGCGACGAUCCAUAGCUGGUCUGAGAGGAUGAUCAGCCACACUGGGACUGAGACCCGGCCCAGACUCCUACGGGAGGCAGCAGUGGGGAAUAUUGGACAAUGGGCGAAAGACUGAUCCAGCAAUGCCGCGUGAGUGAUGAAGGCCUUAGGGUUGUAAAGCUCUUUUACCCGGGAUGAUAAUGACAGUACCGGGAGAAUAAGCCCCGGCUAACUCCGUG
rnacentral:rRNA from 1 species